GCAGAAGAUACUGGAGCAAAAGGCUAAGACAUCAUCAAUCUUUCCUUCAUUUUUUUUCUUAAGGUCCAAAGAUACCUGCUCUGGAUGCUGACCUAACAGAGGGGCUGAACCAAGUGCACAGCGUGACAUGCUGUUCAGCAGAGGAAGGUGCUAACCCACCUCGUGGCCUGUCGAGAGAAUUUCUAUUCAUCCAAUCAUCACGAGAGUAAUACCUACUAAGAUUAAGAGUGUUCACUAUGGAGCAGGCAAUUCACCUGUAUCAACAGUCAGGAAUGUUCACAAAGGUCCCUAGGAGAAACGAAUUCGGGGAUGACUGACUUAAGCAGAUGACUGCACAUGUACUUUGUCGGUUCUCAUACACUGAACAUAAUGAGGAACGGAGUGCCAGAUGGCACUUCUCCACAGAUGGUCUCGGCACACCCUCCCUUACACACACCAUCUUCUGCAAAAACCUCGGCACCUUCCCAUCGGUCUUGGUGUUUCCAGAAAAUCCAGGAAGAGGCAGAAGGGCAGCCUGUUUGGAGCUCUGAGGCUUGUUGUAGGGCUCUACACAGAUGGUUCUGGCUCUCGCCAUCAGACUGCCUUCCAGUUUUGAAAGCACAGCCAGCUGUCAGCUACAUCACGGCCUGAGGAUCCAUCCAGAGACAGCAGCCAGGCCUUGGGUGCGAAGCUGCCUGAGUCGGGGUGCCAGCCUUCCCUCACAUCGCCUCCACCCGUAUCACUGCAGUAAACAUCCCCACGUGUCCUCUCCGGUGGCCAGGCUUGUCAGCACCUCACUGAGAGGUCAGGAAGCCACUUGGCCAGCCCCGGGAGGCAGCUGAGAGGGCCCACUGUGUCAGCCUGCUCCCCCACCAGCAAAAGGGUUUCCUCCCAAGGGCUUCAGGACCGAGGUCUUCAUUGCACAGUGAAGCUACGGAACCAAAGCUACCACUAAUAAACUUCAAUCAGAACAAAAUAAAACAUGCAAGCUCUUUAUGCCAGGAACGUUUCAGACUUUGACAUACAGGCCUCUGCCAAUGUGAUUAAGGUAUCUACUGACCUGGAGCCAGAACUGUUUUUUCACAUUAAAUUGCUAACUCGUGUUCAAA